AUGGCUAAUACAUGCGCAAAUGCCUCCUUCUCUGGAGGGGCUGUGUUUAUUAGAUACAAAACCAACCCACUUUUGUGGAGUCCUGGUGAUUCAUAGUAACCGAACGGAUCGCAUUUGGCUUCGGCCCGCGAUAGAUCUUUCAAGUUUCUGACCUAUCAGCUUUCGACGGUAGGGUAUUGGCCUACCGUGGCAGUGACGGGUAACGGGGAAUUAGGGUUCGAUUCCGGAGAGGGAGCCUGAGAAACGGCUACCACAUCUAAGGAAGGCAGCAGGCGCGCAAAUUACCCAAUGAAAACAGUUUCGAGGUAGUGACGAGAAAUAACAAUACAGGGCAUUUUUUGCUCUGUAAUUGGAAUGAUGGGAAUGUAAAACCCUUCCAGAGUAACAAUUGGAGGGCAAGUCUGGUGCCAGCAGCCGCGGUAAUUCCAGCUCCAAUAGUGUAUAUUAGAGUUGUUGCAGUUAAAAAGCUCGUAGUUGGAUUUCUGCUGUGGUCAUCCGGUACCGCCCGUACGGGUGCGCACCUGGUUUGGCUGCGGCUUUCUUCCUGUAGCCAUCCGCGCUUAAUUGCGUGUGUUGUGUUGCGGAACUUUUACUUU
rnacentral:rRNA from 1 species